CUACGGGUCGCAGCAGUGAGGAAUAUUGCACAAUGGGGGGAACCCUGAUGCAGCAACGCCGCGUGGAGGAUGACGCAUUUCGGUGUGUAAACUCCUUUUAUAUGUCAAGAAAAUGACGGUAGCAUAUGAAUAAGCACCGGCUAACUCCGUGCCAGCAGCCGCGGUAAUACGGAGGGUGCAAGCGUUACUCGGAAUCACUGGGCGUAAAGGACGCGUAGGCGGGUUGGAAAGUCAGGUGUGAAAUCCUACAGCUUAACUGUAGAACUGCACUUGAAACUUCUAAUCUAGAGUAUGGGAGGGGGAGAUGGAAUUAGUGGUGUAGGGGUAAAAUCCGUAGAUAUCACUAGGAAUACCGAAAGCGAAGGCGAUCUGCUGGAACAUUACUGACGCUAAGGCGUGAAAGCGUGGGGAGCAAACGGGAUUAGAUACCCCGGUAGUC
rnacentral:rRNA from 1 species